GAAAAGGGCGGACAGUGGCAAUCUUGAUUAUUCCAAGUGAUAAUUAAGGCCGCGUCUUAUUAUUGUUAUCCAUCCGUUCGUUUGAAAUGAUCCACGUUGAAAAAGUUGCGCACAUAAAAUUUUGAAAUUUAUCGAGAGAAUUAUCCGUAUAUAUAUUGAACGGUAAACGAUACAACGAAUCGAUACAACGAUGCACAGAUAUCUCAUUAACGGUCAAACGAAAUUUUACAAAGGUGAUGGAAUAUUCGCAUCUCAUUGGUAGAUGAUAGGUAUAAUUAUAACUUUAUUUCGAUUUGGAUAGGGGCAGCCAUCCCCUCCGUAGUUUAAAAUUUAAUCCGAUAUUGCGGGCGCGCAAGAUGAAUGGGAAGAUAAUUUUAAUCGAUAGCAAUGACACGUGUAAUCAUGAUCAUCGAUAUUACUCGUAUAAAUGGAAAUGCAUUACUCGAGG